rnacentral:rRNA from 1 species
UACGGAGGGUGCGAGCGUUGUCCGGAAUCAUUGGGCGUAAAGGGCGCGUAGGUGGCGGGACAAGCGUGCGGUGAAAGCCUGGGGCUCAACCCCGGGUCGGCCGUGCGAACUGUUUUGCUUGAGCACUGUAGAGGCAGGCGGAAUUCCGGGUGUAGCGGUGGAAUGCGUAGAGAUCCGGAAGAACACCGGUGGCGAAGGCGGCCUGCUGGGCAGUAGCUGACACUGAGGCGCGACAGCGUGGGGAG